UACGUAGGGUGCAAGCGUUGUCCGGAAUUAUUGGGCGUAAAGAGCUCGUAGGCGGUCUGUCGCGUCUGCUGUGAAAACUCGGGGCUUAACCCCGGGCCUGCAGUGGGUACGGGCAGACUAGAGUGCGGUAGGGGAGACUGGAAUUCCUGGUGUAGCGGUGAAAUGCGCGGAUAUCAGGAGGAACACCGAUGGCGAAGGCGGGUCUCUGGGCCGUAACUGACGCUGAGGAGCGAAAGCAUGGGGAGCGAACAGG
rnacentral:rRNA from 1 species